rnacentral:rRNA from 1 species
GACCGUGCGAAGGUAGCAUAAUCAUUUGCCUUAUAAUUGAAGGCUUGUAUGAAUGGUUUAACAAGAAUAAAGCUGUCUCUUUAUGAUUAAGUAGAAUUUUGUCUAUAGGUGAAGAAACCUAUAUUAAAUUGAAAGACAAGAAGACCCUAUCGAGCUUUAAAUAAAUUAAUAAAUUAAAAACACAUAUUUAUAUCGAAUGAAUUAUUAAAAAUUUUAGUUGGGGCGACUGAGGAACAAAUAAAGCUUCCUAAUAACUUUGAUACAUUCUGGUAAUGAUCCAAAUAUUUUGAUUAAAGAAAUUAGUUACCGUAGGGAUAACAGCAUUAUCUUUUUUAAGAGUUCAAAUCGAAAAAAAGGUUUGUGACCUCGAUGUUGGACCAGAAUAUCCUGAAGAUGCAGCCGUCUUCAAAGGUUGGUCUGUUCGACCAUUAAAAUUCUACGUGAUCUGAGUUCAGACCGGCGUGAGCCAGGUCAGUUUCUAUCUUCAAUUUUUUAUGUGAACUUAGUACGAAAGGAUCAGUUUAGAGUAAAAAUUAUUUUUGCUUGAUAUAGUAUAAAAAAAGAUUUAAUUAAUAAAUUAUAAAGUGUUUAGAUCAAAUUAGCAAAGAUAAUGCAAUUGACUUAGGAUCAAUAGACAUAGGUGAAAUUCCUUUAUUUGAUAAAACCAUAAAG